rnacentral:rRNA from 1 species
CAUAUUUUAGAGCUAAAAUCAUAAUAAAAAUAUUAUUAUUAUUACUUUUAAGUCCACUUUCAAAAUAAAAUUACUUUAUUUAUAUUCAUAUAAAUUAUUUUAUUGUAACCCAUUUCUUCUUAUUUAUAAACUAUGUCCUGAUUUGAUUUUUUAUAUUAUACUAUAUUAAGAAUAUUAAAACUCUUUUAAAAUAUUCAACUACAAUGAUAUAUAAGUUAUUUAAAAUAAGUACAAUUUAUCGUGGAAUAUCGAUUACAGAACAGGUUCCCCUAAAAAGACUAAAAUACCGCCAAAAUUUUUAAUUUUCAAGAACAUAUCUAAUACUAAUUCAGUUAACAAAUUAAAUUUUA